UAUUAUAUAUGUUUUUGUCACACAUGUGACAUGUGUUUAGAAAAAGUGAUUAGAUUUAAAAAAAAAGGGAAAUUUGGCGCUAACAACUUUGGUUAUUCUUACUUCUACUUGCGGUUUACCAACAAAUGGAGAGCAACCUCAGAGCUACCUCAAAAAGAAUGAUACAUUUUUAGAAGCAGGCGUCUCAUAUCACACAAAUAUUUGCAAUUACGAAAGGGCAUUUACAGUUAUUGCCUCGGAUAUAUCAUACGUAUGUAUGUAUGUCCGCCGCUGAGCACUUAUAUGUCCCACCUGAGAGGCAUCCUGUACUCAAUGCCUCCGGUUAGCAUGCAAGUUGAAUUUMACAAAGAAAUCUACAUAUGUAUAUGUAUAUGAAAUAGUGAUCAGAUAAAGAAGAAAAGAGCCGCAAAACAAUUCAACAAUUGAAGACUAUAUCCGAAAAAUCGAAAAAGCAGGGUGUGCACACUGACUGAAAAUAUGUUUCAACGAAUAACUUGCAUUUGGAAAUUAGAUAAAGAUUCUUGUUUUUGCGUUUGUUGGCCAUAAGGAACGUUUAAAUUGCCAACUCACCAUUGCACCAUAAAAGGAUCGUCAUCCCACGCGAGUGGUGUAGUCACUAAAACACUCCCUUGCCCAGGGACAGCUURAGGAUGGAGCAAUGUGUAGAAGUUUGAGCGUCMUUCACUUGGGAGUGGCCAUAAAUGAUUAUUUUACUUUUUCAAUGUGCUAGCGAGCUAAAGCRAGAA